AUUGAACGCUGGCGGCAGGCUUAACACAUGCAAGUCGAACGAGUGGCGGACGGGUGAGUAAUGCUUGGGAAUCUGGCUUAUGGAGGGGGAUAACGACGGGAAACUGUCGCUAAUACCGCGUACCAUAGGAUGAGCCCAAGUGGGAUUAGGUAGUUGGUGGGGUAAAGGCCUACCAAGGCGACGAUCAGUAGCCGGUCUGGGAGGAUGAACGGCCAAAAGGGGAAUGGGACACGGCCCAGACUCCUACGGGGAGCAGCAGGGGGGGAAUUUCCGCAAUGGGGGAAAGGCUGACGGAGCAACGCCGGCGGAGUGGUGACGGCCUUCGGGGUGUAAAGCUCUGUUAAUCGGGAGGCGGUACCGGAAGAGAAAGCAACGGCUAACUACGUGCCAGCCGCCGCGGUAAUAC
rnacentral:rRNA from 1 species